UGUGACCUUUGUUCUCUUUCCCUCCCUCCCAAAUAAACCUUCCUUCACCCGUCCAAACAGAGCUUAAACAGCGACCGGCUCUGCUGGUUGGCCGGUCUGAGGAUGAUCCGGUGGAUCGCAGGAACGCAGGAUCCCGGAGGACGGGAAGCGGAGAAUCCGUAGAACUAUCAGGAGGCAGCGUCGACGGAUGGUGCGGGGUAGGGUCUCGUAGCGACGCGCCGUAGUAAAAGGACAGGGAACUCGGCCUCCGCCUUGUCAAAGCUGGUGUGAUUGUUUUGCCCCAAUUUUUCUUUCUCCACUCGAUUCCUUCAUCUUCUUGAUCGGAAAGCUGUAGGUUUUGUCGGCAGAUAGUAAUUGAAGGGGCUCUCAUUGGGAUUGUCGAGCGUUUCUGUGUUUUUUUAAGAGAAAAGAUUUCUGGUCGAGGAUUUGAGCUCUCAGAGUAAAAACUUCCGCGAGUUCCGUCUAUUCGCGUUCCUUGCCUCGGAUCUAUUGACUGUUGUUCGGCUGGGAAUUAUUGCAAAGGCGACACCUUGCUUGCGCGUGCAGCGCUAUCAGUGAAUCCGGAGGCGGCAAAAAUGAAGAACAUUUGCGACGCCAGAGGGCGUUAAAGGACAAAGCUGCACCCGUCUCAACUCUCAAGGGAAGCAGAGAAAAGAAGAAGAGGUGUUUCUAUCAGCAUUUCUAGGUUUCCUUUUCAGUUUUUGCUAGGAAAAAACCCGUCGAAAUUGGCGACAAGGAGGAAGUCCAAACGGUAGCAGUUCAGAUGCUAUUUUAGGAAGCUGCCGCAUUCUUAUGGAGUAAUCUGGGUCCGAUUUGAUGUUUGUUAGGAAUUUCUGUGUGACUGUAGUUUCUUGAGCUGCUCCGCCGUUAAUGCGACGGUAAUCAAUAGAAAUUUUAGGUUGGUUUCAUGGCUUUGGCUCCUCCAAAUAGUUCAUCUGCAGUUGUUGACUCAGGGACUUAUAGAGAUGUCUUAUACCCAGAACUAUGGAAAGCAUGUGCUGGACCUUUAGUUACUCUCCCAUGUGAAGGAGAAAGGGUUUAUUACUUUCCUCAAGGUCACAUGGAGCAGGGUUUACAUGUGUAGAAUCUGUUAACCCGCACUGUUAUUAAUGAUGGGCUGCUAAUGGAUGCGGGUGUACCAUAUAUAGAGUUUGAUCCCCGUUGGAUUAGGGAUCCUGACAGAACUCUACGCUUCCCAUUAGUGAAGAGUUUAUGACGCCGUCACUCUAGUUCUUUCGGAAGACCAGCCCUCUCUUCUUCUUCCCAAGGAUCGCCAUAUUUUGAGGACGACAUGAAGAACAAUGACAAUUCCGCUACAUUUAGCUAUAAGCAUCAACAAAUCAAGGACAUGACCGGCAAAUGCCCUUGUUUGAUCUGCCAUCAAAAAAAAAAAAUGAUGAACCCGGCUAGUCCUGGGGUUGACCGGCCCGGCCCCAUGGAAUUUUCCCACCGGCCUUAAUCUGCCAUCAAAGAUCCCAUGCAAGGUAGUUCACGUUCAACUUCAGGCUGAAGCAGAUACAGAUGAAGUUUUUGCUCAGAUCAUGCUGCUGCCUGAAAGUCUCCCUCACCAGCUUUCUCCUCCUAGAUGUAGCCUAUAAUACAACCAUGUGCUUGUAAUGAUUUUGACUCGAGGAGUUAUAUGAAAAGUUGCUGACUUAUUAGCUGCCCGCCAUAUUUUCUGUUAGCUCUUCUGACAACCGGUUGGAGUGUUUUUGUGAGCUCAAAGAGAUAGGGAGCCAUUGAUGCAUUUAUCCUUUUAAGAGGUGAAAAUGAUGAGCUUCUAGUCACAGUGAUUAGGCUUAUGCGACCCUAUUAAUAGCAUGCCAUCAUCAGUCAUUUCCAGUCAUAGUAUGCAUGUUGGAGUUCUUGCUACUGCAUCUCAUGCUAUUUCGACUGGGACUCUGUUUUCUGUUUUUAACAAGCCAAGGGCCGCAUAGCGAAAAAGAGAUUCAUACACAUUCAGCAUCAAAGCCUUGUUCAAUUGAACCAUCAUCUGCUAACGGCCUUAAGUACUGGUCAACAACUAGAAUCAACUGAAUUGAUUCAUUCUUGUCUGGCGGUAAGGAUGAACAUAGUGAAAGGAAGCGAGAGAGUAGGUCUGGCUGUAGGCUGUUUGGUGUCCAACUAGUCGAGAGCUUUGUCGAGGAAAUUUCUGUACCAACUGACAUUUCUUCUGUUAGAGAGGAAUAUAACCAGUGAUGUCUUUGGAUGCGGAAUUAGAUCGACAAUCUCAACCAUCAAACUUUAAUAGGUCUGACACACGUGUGUCUUGCUUGAGGUCAACUCAAGAAUCACAAAAUCAGCAAUUGAGGAGCUGUACCAAGGUUCACAUGCAAGGAAUGACAGUUGGGAUUUGGGAGGGCAGUGAGCUUGACUAUAUUAAAUGGAUAUAACGAUCUUUUUCUGAAGCUAGAAGAGAUGUUCAACAUUAAGGGAGAGCUCUUCGGCAAAGUAAAAAAGUGGGAGGUCGUCUACCCUGAUGAAGAGGAGGAUACGUUGAUGGUCAGUGAUGAUCCAUGUCAGUAAGGCUCUUAAAUAAUGAGAACGUUAAGAAGUGAGCUCAGCAGCAUGGUCAGAAAAAUACAUAUUUACACAUGAGAAGAGGCCAAAAGGCUGGUCCUGAAAGGUGAAGCUUCCUGCUUUCGGCGAGGAGAUCAAGCCUACAUCCAAAAUAUCCUUCCCCAAUGCCGACACCAAGCAUACCAAACUGGAAGAUCAAAUUUCUACUCUUAACAAGAUCACUGACCAUCUACUAGCUACAAAGCUAGUUCAUGAGUUGUUCUUCAUAGUAAGGUUAGCUGCUGGAUCGGCAUAUCGAGUACAAAAGGUGGUUCUAUUUGUUCUCUGGCCACUAACUGAUAGCCCUGCUGUGUUGCUAACAUAACCAGCCAGAAAGGAUGGCAGAUGGAGCUUUAGUCUAAACUCCCAUGCGUUGUCUAUGUAGGGUAUUUUCUUCUUAGUUAAUUAGGCUGGUCCUUGCAGGUGAGCUAAAGCUAAGCGACUCGCGGAAAUGUUAAGGCUAACUUUGUGUCUUUGUGGACAAUGUUAAGGCAUUGGAUAAGGGGCGAUCUAUCUACUUUCCUAGCUACCAAAUAGAUGUACAUAAUUAGGCAUCAGGUAGCUACUAUGUUUGUUAAACUAGUGCUUUCCUAGCUACCAAAUAGAUGUGCACAAUUAAGCUUUGUUUAUAAAACAAGAGACAUUUCUUUCAA